UUGAGUUCUUCACAGGAGACAAAAGGGGUUCUCCUACAUGAACCCUAACUCUUGCAAAUCAAUCGAAUCAAAAGGCCAAAUCAGUCCCAAAUCGAAAUCCAAGCUCAUAUUAGUGACACCUAAGUGAAGGGAUCACAAGGCAAGGGAAUUGAAUCCUCAAGAGGACAAGCCGAAGUUGAUAUGCGCUUGAAGGAAAAUCUCUAAAGGUGAUCCUAGUGACCUCCCGGGUGAAGAUCAAGAAAUUUUCAAGAACCAAACACAAGUCUUUGAAGCUUCUGCCAUGAUGUCAUUUUGUUUAGUUAAAUGUUAAACAUGAAAACACUUAGUGUUAUAUUUUGAAUGUUUUUAACUAGUAUGGAUGUUAGCUUUAUAAAAAUUUUUGUAAUGCCGCAUUUACACUUUAAUAUGUACUUAAUAUUUUAUAAUUGUGUUUAAAAUG